CAUCGCCAGAAACGCACACAGAUGGUUUGGCCUUCACGUACCGUUAUGGGCUGCUGUAAGAAGAAAGACAGGAAGGUUCAGGGUGAAGCUAUGAAUUAUACAUGGCAAUGUAUUAAGGCUCGGACCUCAUUGUACAGCUUGGAGGAAGAGAUGGGAGCCAGAAAGGAAGUGUACUCCCCGGGGAUGCUCACACCAUCAUCUGCACAGCAGGAGAGUCAAAUUAGUUCCAGAGGGAGGGAAAUGGUAUGUCUGUACUAACUGAAGGAUCAGAAGGAUCAAACCUCCCAUGUCAAAACCAACCAACGUUGGCAUGGGCAUGGAAGAAAGAGACAAAUGCAUGUUGUCACAUUACUAAGCCAGCCUGCUUCCAACUACUGUCAUGGAGGAUUCCACUACUAGGUUAAUUUACAGAGUCACACAGAUUAAAACUGAAAGAACCC
rnacentral:lncRNA from 1 species